rnacentral:rRNA from 1 species
AGCGAACGCUGGCGGCAGGCCUAACACAUGCAAGUCGAACGAACCUUUCGGGGUUAGUGGCGGACGGGUGAGUAACACGUGGGAACGUGCCUUUAGGGUCGGAAUAACCCAGGGAAACUUGUGCUAAUACCGAAUGUGCCCUUCGGGGGAAAGAUUUAUCGCCUUUAGAGCGGCCCGCGUCUGAUUAGCUAGUUGGUUGAGGUAAUGGCUCACCAAGGCGACGAUCAGUAGCUGGUCUGAGAGGAUGAUCAGCCACAUUGGGACUGAGACACGGCCCAAACUCCUACGGGAGGCAGCAGUGGGGAAUCUUGCGCAAUGGGCGAAAGCCUGACGCAGCCAUGCCGCGUGAAUGAUGAAGGUCUUAGGAUUGUAAAAUUCUUUCACCGGGGACGAUAAUGACGGUACCCGGAGAAGAAGCCCCGGCUAACUUCGUG